rnacentral:rRNA from 1 species
GGCGGGACACGUGGUAUCCUGUCUGAAUAUGGGGGGACCAUCCUCCAAGGCUAAAUACUCCUGACUGACCGAUAGUGAACCAGUACCGUGAGGGAAAGGCGAAAAGAACCCCGGCGAGGGGAGUGAAAAAGAACCUGAAACCGUGUACGUACAAGCAGUGGGAGCCUCUUUUAUGGGGUGACUGCGUACCUUUUGUAUAAUGGGUCAGCGACUUAUAUUCUGUAGCAAGGUUAACCGAAUAGGGGAGCCGAAGGGAAACCGAGUCUUAACUGGGCGUUAAGUUGCAGGGUAUAGACCCGAAACCCGGUGAUCUAGCCAUGGGCAGGUUGAAGGUUGGGUAACACUAACUGGAGGACCGAACCGACUAAUGUUGAAAAAUUAGCGGAUGACUUGUGGCUGGGGGUGAAAGGCCAAUCAAACCGGGAGAUAGCUGGUUCUCCCCGAAAGCU